CCUACGGGUGGCAGCAGUGAGGAAUAUUGGUCAAUGGACGAAAGUCUGAACCAGCCAAGUAGCGUGAAGGAUGACUGCCCUAUGGGUUGUAAACUUCUUUUAUAUGGGGAUAAAACAGGGUAUGCAUACCCUCUUGUAUGUACCAUAUGAAUAAGGAUCGGCUAACUCCGUGCCAGCAGCCGCGGUAAUACGGAGGAUCCGAGCGUUAUCCGGAUUUAUUGGGUUUAAAGGGAGCGUAGGUGGAUUGUUAAGUAAGUUGUGAAAUUUUGAGGCUCAAACUUAAAAUUGCAGGUGAUACUGGCAGGCUUGAGGACAGUAGAGGUAGGCGGAAUUCGUGGUGUAGCGGUGAAAUGCUUAGAUAUCACGAAGAACUCCGAUUGCGAAGGCAGCUUACUGGACUGCAACUGACACUGAUGCUCGAAAGUGUGGGUAUCAAACAGGAUUAGAUACCCCUGUAGUC
rnacentral:rRNA from 1 species